AAAGCGCGAAUUCUGACUGAACUAAAGACGAGUAAAGCAGCUGAUGUUUUCGUUAAUUAAGUGGGUGGAGGAUGGAAAAUUCCCAGUUCUGCCCACAGACCAUAUUCGACAAUUUGACGAAGAUAAGUAUGCUUUGGGAAUGGAGGAAAAGGAUUUGUACUUAGUGGAGUGGCGCCGAGGUGUCAAGGAGCCUAAAGGCGGGUGGCCAGUUUACGAGGCCUCCACAAUCAAAAUUGCAGAAAGGGAAAGGACUCUACAAAUAAAACUUCAGGAAAUUGAAGCACAAAUACCCAAGCCAGACACUCUUAAGAGAAAGAGUAAGCCUAGUAUGAAACUGCUAGAGAGGGCACAGGUGAGAGAACAACCAGCACCUAAAAGAAAGGCACACAUCACCGCAGAAGAAAAUGAUCUGAAGGUCUGGAAUGAAAAAAAAAUCGAACAUUUACAGCGUGUGAUAAAGCAACUGAGGGAAGAGAACAUGACUCUAAGUAAAGAGAAUGAGAGACUGAAGAAUGAAAAACUUGAAAAAAUCCCACCCCUCAUUCUGGCUACAGAGCAUUUACUCAGGGAGGUUAGAGUUACGUUCAUUUUUAAAUGGUAUAAAGGAUUGUUAUGCAUUAGGAUAAUCAAAGGAAAAAAAUGUAUCACAGUGCACCACAGAUCUUUAGUCUCUGUUGCUUAUAGUAUUAUCUCUUCUGCAUAUUCAUUUCAGCCUAUCAAAUCAAAGGCAAAUAUCCUCGAUGUGUCAAAGCCUCCACCUCAAGAACCUCUCCUGUAUUUUCCUAAACAUCCUGCUAAUUUGAUCAUGACCGUGGUAGCUUUCGAAAGAAUAGCAUAAAGAUAUUGAAGCAUCAAUGGACUUGUUCCCUACAAUCACAGACGGCCACAUCAAUGGUUCGUGCUCUUUUAAUGGCUGCCUUCCCACUAGAAGUACUCAUCCACAGCAACUUGAAAGGUAAACUGUUACAAACACCAGGUCAGCUUCUUCCCACAGAACUUUCCACUUCCAAUGGCACUUGUAUUAGAAAAAAGGCAGGUGAUUCUGAUUUUCCUUGUUAAGUAAAUCUGCCUUUGUUCCAUAAGAAAUUGCUCCUGUUUUACUGGCAAAUUACUACAAGUGGGAUUUUUUUUAUCUGGCCAUCUCCGAAUGAAAUGAUCAAGUGCAAUGCAGGAGUGUAAAAAAAGACAGAAUUUCACUUCUUUAACAACAGUUUCUAUACUAUACAUUCUUGCCAAUGAACCUAAUCUUUAUUAUUCAAAAUACCUAAAUUGUUUUUUUACUGUUUUUUUUUUGUAGGAGGUAAGAGUAAAACAGACAGUGUUGCGGAGAGAAGAAGUGCCCUUGACAAGUACACCAUGGCAGCCAUAUAUAUCAAGAAGAGGUUUCCAAAUGUAUCCAAAGGAGCUUUGGGGAUUGCAGUUAAUUCUAAACAGGGGGAAUUGAG